rnacentral:lncRNA from 1 species
UUCCCAUACCCCGUUAUUUCCCCUUUUCCCUUCCCUCCCACUUCCUUCUCCCUUCCUUCUCCCCAUUCCCUCCCCUCCUUCUCCCCUAUCCUCCCCCCUUUGUUUCCCCUUCCCUCCUUCCCCAUUUCCCUUCCCACUUCCCAUUUCCCCUUUUGGGGGUUACUUUGGGGUUCCUUUGCUUUGAGUUGGUGUUUCCUUAACGCAGCUGUGCGCAGUUUCCUCUCCACCUCCAACGAAGCAGUGUACAAAAUCUUCAACGAGUCGGCGUGCCCCCUGGCGGGGCAGAGCUGCGACCCGGAGGUGAGGGGAGGAAAACUGGGGGUCUGUGGCUUCGAGAGCCCCAAAACUGGGGGUCUGUGGCUUCAAGAGCCCCAAAACUGGGGGUCUGUGGCAUUUAUAGCACAAAAACUGGGGGUCAGUGGCUCUUGGAGAGCAAAAACUGGGGUCUGUGGCAUUCGGGCACGUCUUGGUGCCUUGAGAUGUUGGUUCUGUCUGACAUGGGUGCGAUAAUUGUUGGUUCCAUGGCACGUUGGUGCCAUAAAUGCUGGUUCCAUGGGAUGUUGGUGCCAUAAAUGCUGGUUCCAUGGGCCGUUGGUGCCAUAAAUAUUGGUUCCAUGGCACAUUGGUGCCAUAAUUGUUGGUUCCAUGGAACACUGUUGCCAUAAAUGCUGGUUCCAUGGCCCAUUGGUGCCAUAAAUGCUGGUUCCAUGGCCCGUUGGUGCCAUAAUUGUUGGUUCCAUGGCACGUUGAUGCCAUAAAUGCUGGUUCCAUGGCACGUUGAUGCCAUAAAUGCUGGUUCCAUGGGACAUUGGUGCCAUAAAUGCUGGUUCCAUGGCCUGUUGGUGCCAUAAAUGCUGGUUCCAUGGCCCGUUGGUGCCAUAAAUGCUGGUUCCAUGGCCCGUUGGUGCCACAGCUGUUGGUGCCGCUGGUGCUGCCCACAUCCCUGCUGCCCCCAGACGUUCAACACGAGCGAAGCGGCGGCGCAGUGCCCCGGCUCUCAGUGCCUCUUUGCGCUCUACGGCGGCGAGUCGUCGUUCCACCGCUCGCUGACGGCGCUGCAGCUCUUCAACCUCUUCAUGCUCUUCUGGCUGGCCAACUUCGCCAUCGCGCUGGGCCAGGUGACGCUGGCGGGCGCCUUCGCCUCCUAUUAUUGGGCCUUCAAGAAGCCCCAGGACAUCCCCGCCUUCCCCCUCUUCUCCUCCUUCGGCCGCGCGCUCAGGUGUGUCCUGCGCCCGCUGCGUCCCAGCAGGACGGCGGGGGUCCUUCCAUCCACAGCCCAUCUCUGCUCACAUCUCCAUCCCCAUCUCCAUCCCCAUCCCCAUCCCUGCUGGAGAUCUCCAUUCCAUCUCCAUCCCCAUCCCCAUCCCAUCCCCAUCUCCAUCCCUGUCUCCAUCCCCGU